rnacentral:rRNA from 1 species
AUUGAACGCUGGCGGCAUGCCUCACACAUGCAAGUCGAACGGUAACGGGCCUUCGGGUGCCGACGAGUGGCGAACGGGUGAGUAAUGCAUCGGAACGUACCCAUCAGUGGGGGAUAACUCUCCGAAAGGAGGGCUAAUACCGCAUAUUCUGUGCGCAGGAAAGCGGGGGACCGCAAGGCCUCGUGCUGAUGGGGCGGCCGAUGUCAGAUUAGCUAGUUGGUGGGGUAAAGGCCUACAAAGGCGACGAGCUGUAGCGGGUCUGAGAGGAUGAUCCGCCACACUGGGACUGAGACACGGCCCAGACUCCUACGGGAGGCAGCAGUGGGGAAUUUUGGACAAUGGGGGCAACCCUGAUCCAGCCAUGCCGCGUGAGUGAAGAAGGCCUUCGGGUUGUAAAGCUCUUUCGGCCGGGAAGAAAUCGCAUCUCCUAAUACGGGGUGUGGAUGACGGUACCGGAAUAAGAAGCACCGGCUAACUACGUGCCAGCCGCCGCAGUAACAC